rnacentral:rRNA from 1 species
CUGGGCGUUAAGUUGCAGGGUAUAGACCCGAAACCCGGUGAUCUAGCCAUGGGCAGGUUGAAGGUUGGGUAACACUAACUGGAGGACCGAACCGACUAAUGUUGAAAAAUUAGCGGAUGACUUGUGGCUGGGGGUGAAAGGCCAAUCAAACCGGGAGAUAGCUGGUUCUCCCCGAAAGCUAUUUAGGUAGCGCCUCGUGAAUUCAUCUCCGGGGGUAGAGCACUGUUUCGGCAAGGGGGUCAUCCCGACUUACCAACCCGAUGCAAACUGCGAAUACCGGAGAAUGUUAUCACGGGAGACACACGGCGGGUGCUAACGUCCGUCGUGAAGAGGGAAACAACCCAGACCGCCAGCUAAGGUCCCAAAGUCAUGGUUAAGUGGGAAACGAUGUGGGAAGGCCCAGACAGCCAGGAUGUUGGCUUAGAAGCAGCCAUCAUUUAAAGAAAGCGUAAUAGCUCACUGGUCGAGUCGGCCUGCGCGGAAGAUGUAACGGGGCUAAACCAUGCACCGAAGCUGCGGCAGCGACGCUGAUGCGUUGUUGGGUAGGGGAGCGUUCUGUAAGCCUGUGAAGGUGUGCUGUGAGGCAUGCUGGAGGUAUCAGAAGUGCGAAUGCUGACAUAAGUAACGAUAAAGCGGGUGAAAAGCCCGCUCGCCGGAAGACCAAGGGUUCCUGUCCAACGUUAAUCGGGGCAGGGUGAGUCGACCCCUAAGGCGAGGCCGAAAGGCGUAGUCGAUGGGAAACAGGUUAAUAUUCCUGUACUUGGUGUUACUGCGAAGGGGGGACGGAGAAGGCUAUGUUGGCCGGGCGACGGUUGUCCCGGUUUAAGCGUGUAGGCUGGUUUUCCAGGCAAAUCCGGAAAACUAAGGCUGAGGCGUGAUGACGAGGCACUACGGUGCUGAAGCAACAAAUGCCCUGCUUCCAGGAAAAGCCUCUAAGCAUCAGGUAACAUCAAAUCGUACCCCAAACCGACACAGGUGGUCAGGUAGAGAAUACCAAGGCGCUUGAGAGAACUCGGGUGAAGGAACUAGGCAAAAUGGUGCCGUAACUUCGGGAGAAGGCACGCUGAUAUGUAGGUGAAGUCCCUCGCGGAUGGAGCUGAAAUCAGUCGAAGAUACCAGCUGGCUGCAACUGUUUAUUAAAAACACAGCACUGUGCAAACACGAAAGUGGACGUAUACGGUGUGACGCCUGCCCGGUGCCGGAAGGUUAAUUGAUGGGGUUAGCGCAAGCGAAGCUCUUGAUCGAAGCCCCGGUAAACGGCGGCCGUAACUAUAACGGUCCUAAGGUAGCGAAAUUCCUUGUCGGGUAAGUUCCGACCUGCACGAAUGGCGUAAUGAUGGCCAGGCUGUCUCCACCCGAGACUCAGUGAAAUUGAACUCGCUGUGAAGAUGCAGUGUACCCGCGGCAAGACGGAAAGACCCCGUGAACCUUUACUAUAGCUUGACACUGAACAUUGAGCCUUGAUGUGUAGGAUAGGUGGGAGGCUU